UACAGUGUCCUCGUCAAAGAAAUACUAUUGACUGCGGAUAUUUUAUCAUGAGAUUUAUGAAAGAAGUUAUCAUGGAAUAUCCAAAUAAGAUUCCUGAUAAUUACUUUUCUCGCCAUAGACAUUCUACAUACUCUAAAGAGAAGCUAGAUGAGGUGAAGGAGGAGUGGGCUACCCAUAUGGUUGAAGAUGUUAUCAAUGAUGCAAAGAGGCUGCAAAAAUAAUAGUUGAUCAUUAAUUGGUAGUUUGAGGGCUUCCUUUUUCGAUGAAGUGGGCGGUUCUCAUCAAGUGACACGUCGCAGAAGAAAGUAGGGCUAGAGUUUGACUAUCUUUUGUAGUGGUCUUUGUGUUUGUAUUAAAAUUUGUCAUUGAUUUUCUCAUUAGAAGCUAUGGACACAGUUUGACAAUAUCACUUUUGUAGUGGUCUUUUUGUUUGCACUAUUCAAUUCAGAUUUGUCUUGUAGUCGGAUUGGUUUUAUUUAUGAAAUGAAUGUAUUACAAGAGUUUUUAUUUUAUU